rnacentral:rRNA from 1 species
AGUGAACGCUGGCGGUAGGCCUAACACAUGCAAGUCGAACGGCAGCACAGUAAGAGCUUGCUCUUACGGGUGGCGAGUGGCGGACGGGGGAGGAAUACAUCGGAAUCUACUUUUUCGUGGGGGAUAACGUAGGGAAACUUACGCCAAUACCGCAUACGACCUACGGGUGAAAGCAUGGGAUCUUCGGACCUUGCGCGAUUGAAUGAGCCGAUGUCGGAUUAGCUAGUUGGCGGGGUAAAGGCCCACCAAGGCGACGAUCCGUAGCUGGUCUGAGAGGAUGAUCAGCCACACUGGAACUGAGACACGGUCCAGACUCCUACGGGAGGCAGCAGUGGGGAAUAUUGGACAAUGGGCGCAAGCCUGAUCCAGCCAUACCGCGUGUGUGAAGAAGGCCUUCGGGUUGUAAAGCACUUUUGUUGGGAAAGAAAGGCAGCAGGUUAAUACCCCGCUGUUCUGACGGUACCCACAGAAUAAGCACCGGCUAACUUCGUG